UUUUAAAUCGUUUGCUGAGCAGAAAGGUCGUAUUCUAUCGUUAAGAUAGAUAGGUAGCACCAGCAUAACCUCAACGACGUCGUAAAUAAAUAAAUACUGCAAGAACGUCGAAAAAAAAAAGACAGGCUCCUCCUCCUGCCAGGAACUAGUUUAUACUAGAAAGGACAUUUAUGGAAUGCUGAAAGACGGUCUAAGAGACGGGUUAUCUAUUAAAUUAUCUGAAAACGGGGAUGACUGGACGUAGUGGAAAAACGAUAGAUAUUUGUGAAGACAUGAAGGCAUCGUUUUCUACUGUAUUUUUCAAAAUCAGAGAAAAGUUGCUUGCUGUCAGCAGGACCGACCAAAAAUUUGUGCGUAAAGUAUUAAUACAUGGUAGAAAAUGCUGAAAAAGCUGAUACCAUUUUCAGCCGAGGCCCUAGAAAUGCUAACAUCCAACGGUUCUCAAGAUUAUCUACUCUGACUCAGAUGAAGAUAACGACUUUCAAAUUGAUUCCGAGUUGAGUGAGAGUGAUUCAGAGUAAUAAUUACUCGCUAAAUGAUCGAGUCCGAAGACAAAUUUUCCAUUAAUAUGUUAGAUGCAGUCAACUUUAUUAGUAAAGUUUGGAAAGAGGAGCAGCAGCAGAAACAAUUCAACACUCCUAUCGUCAUUACCGAGACAGAAUGCGAACAGGACUUGGAAGAUGAUCAAUCAGCCACUAAGCGAGUGGAUAAAGCAGUUUCAAAUAACAAUUACGUUUACAAGUGAGGAGUAGCAAGAUUUUAUGGUGAUAGAUCGGGAUUUGCCUACAACGGCAAACUUGACAGAGGAAGUCAUAUUGCAACAAGCAAGAAAGGGUGAGGAAGAGCACCAAGAGGAAGAAGACGAUGAAGAAGUUAAUCUGGGACCACCACCAACCAUUCAACAAGCCCUAUAUGCAGUUAAGCUGCUAGAGAAAUUUGGAACAUGCCCCUCUGGAAGAAAUAGAUGCGUAUUGACAUACUAAAAAAAUUCAAAAGAAAAUGUACGAUUAUUGAAACAUUAAAUAUAGUUCUUAUAUAUUUUAAAAAUGUUCCUAAGUGGAUGUUAAAAUAUGUAUAUAAUAUAAUUAAAUAUCACAGAACACAUAUGCGUAUUGUUUUUUUUUCAAGUGUCUAUAACUCUUCAAUUUCGCUAUAUAGAGUUUCGACUGUACUUUUAUUUAGUUCACCUCGCUAAUGGUAGCAGGCUAUUUUGCUCGGCAGGGUGUUCUAUAAGGGGCUGCGGUUUUGGAGUAAUAAACGGUAGGCAAAGUUAAUGACGAGGUCGGUUGUAAAGCACUAUAUUUCUGGUCCAAGUAUACCGAGCGUGAAGCCGCCUUUAGUAAGUAGCCCGAUCGUG